rnacentral:lncRNA from 1 species
AAUUUAGAGAAUAGAGACGUGAGAAUAAAUAUAGAAGUGGAGGAAUUACGUGUUUGAUUUGCAUUAGUUUACUUGUCAAUUUUUAAUUUGAGUUAUUUAUCAUUAUCUCAGCUAGCGACGUAAAAGUUUUGGAAAUGCUUGUCAAUAUAACCAGAUUGCUAUCCAUAGAUAUGUGAGUAGAACGAUUUAAACAUUUUCAAGUUUUGAUAAAUUAAUUAUACUAUUACAUUAUGUGCAAUUAUAUGUUCGAUACAUUAUUUCCAAAGAUUGUAUAUGAUACAUUUGUGAAUCGAAAUAUGAGACAUAUGUGAUAUUGAGAUUGACCAGAAAAGUACUCAUAAUUGUUUAUUUUUUCUAGUUUAUGAGGGACCUUGGUCGUGUUUUAUAUUGCACUAAGGGAUCUUGACUGUGGAUAAGUAGGUCUUCACAAUGCAUAUAUAGCUCACUGAGGGUCCUUAGCCAUGUUUCAAAUUGAUUAUGAGAGGUCUUUAAAACCCGUUUUGUUCACUAAAAGGGCUCGAGGCCCAUUUCUGGAGUGUUUAGUCCGAGGGGCACUCUACACGUGUAUGACCAAAUUACAGAUAUUAGUCAGAGGCUACAUUUUUUGUGGAUCUUUCAGUAUAUUUUAUGUAAUGAGAUCAUAUAAUGGAUAUCAACUGAUAAUAUCUUGAUUACGAGAUGAUAUUA